GGCUCUUUGCUUAUAUAAAUAUAGGGAGUCGAGCCUGCCCAGUGAAUUUUUAAACGGCCGCGGUACUCUGACCGUGCAAAGGUAGCAUAAUCAUUUGCCUUAUAAUUGAAGGCUAGUAUGAAUGGUUUGACGAGAGCAGCACUGUCUCCUUUUUAUUUUCAAGAACUUAACUUUUAGGUGAAGAGGCCUAAAUUCUAUUGAAGGACAAGAAGACCCUAUCGAGCUUAAAAGACAUCAUAGAAGUUUAUAUAUUUUUAAAUAAAUUUUCUAUUAAGCUUUUUAGUUGGGGCGACUAAGGAACAAAAAAAGCUUCUUGCUGAUGAUAAGCAGUCAUGUUUAGAUCCGAUAAUAAUCGAUCAAAGAAAUUAGUUACCGUAGGGAUAACAGCAUAAUCUCUCUUGAGAGACCUAAUCGAAAGAGGGGGUUGUGACCUCGAUGUUGGACUAGAAUAUCCUAAAGAUGCAGAAGUCUUUGAGGGUCGGUCUGUUCGACCGUUAAAAUUCU
rnacentral:rRNA from 1 species